ensembl:lncRNA
AUGCGAGUCCAUCCUACCUUAAAAGGACAAAGAAACGCUGAAACACGCAUGAUUAAUGAUCGUCGUUCACCUUUACCUUGGAUCCACCUGCGGGAGCGGCAGACACGUGCAGAGGCUGCAGGAGAGACAAAGAGCGUUUGUGUCACAAGGUUAUUCUGGAAAAAGAGCCGCCCUCAUUCUGGAUUGUUUCGGUACAAAUAAAACACGGUGGUUGCUGCUGUUAAAGCCUCAGGAUUAAGGUUAAAACGUACCGUUAAUUAUUGAUGUUGUUUGUUUGAUGCUUGCUUCUUUUAAAACGUUUUCAGAGUAAAAACUUUUGAAUAUCAGGAAAACGACUAAACUUCCAUCAGUCUGAUUUAAAUAAACGACUUAACAAGUAUCUAUGGAUGCAGGUUUGCGCUUUAUUUAAUUUAUUAUUUUAUUAAUUAGAUAAACUGAAAUAUUUUCAUUAGUUUUCAAAUAAAUAAACGUAAAAUCUAUCAUCCGUCUAUCUAUCUAUCUAUCUAUCUAUCUAUCUAUCUAUCUAUCUAUCUAUCUAUCUAUCUAUCUAUCUAUCUAUCUAUCUAUCAUCUAUCUAUCUAUCUAUCUAUCUAUCUACCUACCUAUCUAUCUAUCUAUCUAUCUAUCUAUCUAUCUAUCAUGUUGUGACACUAUAAUUUAAUUCUUUAUGGCAUCUUGAAUAAAUGUUUCAGCGUUUAUAUAAAAUUUUAAAAUAAAAAUAUAUGUUUUUUAUUUUAACACACAGAUUUCUGAAAUUUGUUGUAAAAAUAUAAACAACAAAAACAAUAAAUCAUUUACAGUAAUACAACUAAUUAAUUGAUAUAAUGAAGCAACUCGAUUUUUGUUUAUUAAAUGUUUAUUAAUGUUUAUUAAAUGUUUAUUAAACAAAUGCUAAUUUUUUUAAUGCGAAUCACCAUACCUCAUUUUUAACCCAUCAGUGCUUUUAUUUGGAGGCCCUUAACCUCCUGCGGGUCCCCGAGGAGACCCCGGACCCCACCGUUCUCCCCUGCAGGAGCCCCAGAUGAAACCUCGGGGUCAAACGUCGGUCAGGUUGCAGAUUUUCACAUCCAAACUAAAAAAAAAAAAAAAAAAAAAACAGUUUACAGACCGGACAGGUCAAACAACAGACACACUCGAUCUACGGCGGAUUGUUUGACCAAAACACCCUCGGAACCAUCUUUAAAACAACAACUAGAACCAACCCACACAAGGCUGGAAAGUUGUUGUCCUGCGAGAGGACGUCCAGCUCCAGCUGAUGAUUCCCAUUAGGAGGGGGACAGAUGUUUAACCAUUAGAGCUCCCGAAGUUCAAUGUUACGUAAAACAAGUUCGUUUCUAAUUAAGGGAACAUUUUUUAUGUAUUUAUCAUUUAUUUAAAUCUGCCCAAAUUGUGGAAAAUAAUAAUAAUUUAAUUUAAAAAUUGAAAUAAAUCUACAAACAAAUUAAAUACAGAACAUUUAUAAACUGUAAACUUGUUUAUAAUUUAGCAUCUAGUUUUCAACCAUAAAAAAAUCUAAUUUAUAAUCCUUAAAAAUUUUAUGCUGAAUAUAAAAAAAUAAUUCAUCUUUAAAUAUUCAUUUUUGGGAGAAGAAUCCUAAUUAUUUAAGAUUUCUUUGAACAGUUUUAUAAUUUCAGUUUUAUUAUUACUUUGUUCGUUAUUGAUAACAAAACAACAACUACAACAAAAUCUUUGUGUUAAUUUAGAAGUUUUAGAAUUUUACUUUUAAAACUUUCAUUUAGAAACCAUAACUUUUGAAAUGUAAUUAAAGUUAAACAUUUUACUAUGAAUGAUUAAAACAGUUUUUCAACCUUAAAGAUUCAUUUGAAAUUCAUUAAAGCAUAAAGGUUUUAGCAGGAUCAACAGAAACAAUUAAAGAAACAAAAAAGAAGCAAAGAUCGUCACCUGAGUGUGAACUAUUUAUCUCAGAACACACACACACACACACACACACACACACACACACACACAUUUUCGUAUAAAAGGCCGGUUUUAAGAGUAAAGUUCUCAUAUUUGGAUUUCUUCUGUGAAUGUACUGUGUGUGUGUGUGUGUGUGUGUGUGUGUGUGUGUGUGUGUGUGUGUGUGUGUGUGUGUGUGUGUGUGUGUGUGUGUGUG